UACGAAGGGGGCUAGCGUUGCUCGGAAUCACUGGGCGUAAAGCGCACGUAGGCGGAUUUUUAAGUCAGGGGUGAAAUCCUGGAGCUCAACUCCAGAACUGCCUUUGAUACUGGGAAUCUCGAGUCCGGGAGAGGUGAGUGGAACUCCGAGUGUAGAGGUGAAAUUCGUAGAUAUUCGCAAGAACACCAGUGGCGAAGGCGGCUCACUGGCCCGAUACUGACGCUGAGGCACGAAAGCGUGGGGAGCAAACAG
rnacentral:rRNA from 1 species